AUCAGAUGCUCUCCUGUGAUCCCAGCUACAAGGAGGCUGAGCCAGGAAGAUCUAAAGUUCACCCUUGCUGCCUGGACUACAUAAGGACAAGCCUUUCCACCUUAGCAGCCAGAGAAUCAGAGGCAGGGGCGGGGUCACGACCUUUAGCAAGUUUUUCUAUCUUUACCUGUGUAUCAAAGUUCCCAUAAGUCUCCGGCGACAGGGAAUCAGGAGUGUCUUUUGUCAUGAGCUGUGGAAGGGGGCAUUGUGAUGAGCUAGGCUCUCUGAUAGAACCUUCAAGGCUUCUGAGGAUCAGCCAAGGAACCUCUCUCCUGCCCCUCCCCAAGGCUAGUUUAGCCUGAUAAGUCCUGCCAAGAGGCUCCCUCCAAUGCAGAAAAAGGCCAACACUUCUGAGGCUACAGGGUUCUGACUUACAGCCAACAUACAGAGAUGUGGAACUUCUGAGUUCUAGGCAGAGGACAGACCUUACCAGGCAGGGCAGGAGCUGUGCCCAGUUGCCCAAUGUCCCCUCCCCUGACACUUCUGGAUUGCCCCAAGGGAUGCUCUCACCUACCUCCUGGAUGGCUUCCAUCACUACAUGUUGAACAGAUUCCUCCAGUGUCAUAAUUCUCUGGAUAUAUUCUGGGGAUGAAGGUGGAGGCGAGAGGCUGAGACCAGACACAGCACAGCCCAGUACCAACUGAAGCAGUUUGCCGAGCUCUGCAGGAUCUGAGAGUUCACCAAUGAGGCUGACAUCUGGAAGGUGCUGUUCGGAUACAGGAUGCCCCAGGACCUGAGAACACACAGAGGAGACGUCAGGACACAUUGAACUGACUCCUAACCCAGUCCCAAACCCCUUUGCAGUACUCACAUCCUUUGAGUAUUCCAUCAAGCUCUGUAAGAUCUUCUCCAGUUUCCUGACCUGUUGAGGCCAAGGAGUUACCUACAAAUGGAGGUCUAGAGCAGUGCCCCCAAAUCUGUCCUCACUCGCCCCCCCCUUCAAUUUCCUUUCCCUGCUUAUCCCCUAGUUGUUUGGUCCUGUUCUAAAUAUCCUUCUCCUCUAGGGCUGACCUGCAUUGCCUGUCCUCGGUGUUUACCUCACCAUCUUUAUUCACAAGUCCCAGAAUCCAGUGGUUUCUCACUACCUGGCACUACUAAUGUCAUAUCUCACUUGGA